UACAGAGGUCUCAAGCGUUGUUCGGAUUCAUUGGGCGUAAAGGGUGCGUAGGCGGCGUCGUAAGUCAGGUGUGAAAUCUCGGGGCUUAACUCCGAAACUGCAUUUGAUACUGCGGUGCUUGAGGACUGGAGAGGAGGCUGGAAUUUACGGUGUAGCAGUGAAAUGCGUAGAGAUCGUAAGGAAGACCAGUGGCGAAGGCGGGUCUCUGGACAGUUCCUGACACUGAGGCACGAAGGCCAGGGGAGCAAACGGG
rnacentral:rRNA from 1 species